GAUGAACGCUGGCGGCGUGCCUAGUACAUGCAAGUCGAGCGAACAGACGAGGAGCUUGCUCCUCUGACGUUAGCGGCGGACGGGUGAGUAACACGUGGAUAACCUACCUAUAAGACUGGGAUAACUUCGGGAAACCGGAGCUAAUACCGGAUAAUAUAUUGAACCGCAUGGUUCAAUAGUGAAAGACGGUUUUGCUGUCACUUAUAGAUGGAUCCGCGCGGCAUUAGCUAGUUGGUAAGGUAACGGCUUACCAAGGCAACGAUGCAUAGCCGACCUGAGAGGGGGAGAGGCCACAGUGGAAAGGCGACAGGAUCGAGAAUGUGACUGGAGGAAGAAGGAGCGAAUGGUGACCAAUGGGCGAAUGCCUUAAGUAGCAACGCCGAGUGAGUGAUGAAGGUUUAAUGAUCGUAAAACUCUGUUAUUAGGGAAAAACAGAUGUGUAAGUAACUGUGCACAGCUUGACGGGACCUAAUAAGAAAGCCACGGCUAGCUACGUG
rnacentral:rRNA from 1 species